AAAAUGACGGAGGACAGGUGAAGGAGGCAAUCACAGCUAAGCAAGCCACUGACUUUUCUCCGUUGUCAGAGCUGGACACGUUACCAGGUUACUUCUAACAACAGAGUGAUGUGCAUAGUUUAUUUUUAGCUCACAUGUUGCAUGCAAAUCACCCAUUUCUACAGUAUAAUGUGCAUACAAAGUUUGCUGAGGUGUCCAAACUAGAUUCACUGUCUCCAGAUCAUACUGUGGUGUUACUGCCACAUGAGAUAUCAACACAUGCACCUGUCUGGUGUCAGCAUCUAUGGCUGCAGUAGGGAUAUCCGUUAGUGGUAUCUGUUUAGGUGGCUGUUAUUUAUCUGCCUACAAGUAAGUGAUACAUAUUAUUUUCUAAUCAAUGAAACCUCUCAUUUUAGCUUCUAUGUAACAGAGGAAUGGCCAAAUGCAUUUUUUAAAACGCCCUCAUUCAGAUUUCUACUGUGAGCAGCUUACAGACUGAUAACAUUCAUGAAAACUUUAACAAUAAAAAGAUGAUCUACUGGGAAAGUUAGAUUGGAAAUACAUAACUAGAAUGGAAAUGCUUCCUUUGCCUUCACAGAAUAAAUAAUAAAUGCUUUCCAGGUAAUGACUACAGCUCUUUUGAUAACAUAUAUAUUAAUAAACUAAAAACAUCCAUAGAUUGACAAGUGUUUUGUGGGCUUAUACUGAAAAGCCAACAACUAAUUAUGAAAGCCUGACUUGACUAAUCAAUUAUUCAGAUAGACAUUAGGUGCCUAUUAUAUGCAUAAACAUGGGAAUUAUAUUUCCCAUAAGUAACUUUCCAAAAUAACAAACCCCAAACAUGCAAAUUUGAAAUAGAGAGAAGCACACUAUUAUGCACUUACUGCACGUGCAGACCUCCCACUGAAUUAUUCAGGAAACACUGAACUGGGAGCCUCAGUCUUCUGACUCUGAGCAGCACAGCAAUAGCAGCACAUGCCAUGUUGUAUUUGUUAUGCAUGUAAUAUUGAUUUAGCUCGUUC